UUCUUUCGUUUAUCGAUGUAAGCAGUUUGUAGAUCUGAAUUCUUGAGGCUGAAUCUGUGUGAAUUUGCAUAAUUUUAAAGACAGCUUCGACAUAAGAAUUGGAAGGAAAAUAUCAAUCGAGGUUCAAAAUGGAAUGUACAUGUGGAAUGCCACUGUUCAUUUGGGGGCAACACUGUUACCGUUGUAGUGCACUAAAUCCCUGGUUCAAAAAAUAUGAAGACGAAGCAGCUAUCGGUGGCGUUGAUGAACUACUAUCGACAUUCAAAAUAAACGAUGAUACUGCUGAGUUUCGUGAUGUGUAUAAUCGAGGCAAAAUGGCAGAUAUAAUAAAAGAAACACAAUCGGAUUUAACAUUGGAAGCAUAUCAAAACGGAUAUAAAUCCGCUAACCCAAAAG